CCAUGGGAUACUUAGUACGGCGAGUGAGCGGUAAAAGCUCAAAUUUGAAAUCUGGUACUUUCAGUGCCCGAGUUGUAAUUUGUAGAAUUUGUCUUUGAUUAGGUCCUUGUCUAUGUUCCUUGGAACAGGACGUCAUAGAGGGUGAGAAUCCCGUUUGGCGAGGAUACCUUUUCUCUGUAAGACUUUUUCGAAGAGUCGAGUUGUUUGGGAAUGCAGCUCAAAGUGGGUGGUAAAUUCCAUCUAAAGCUAAAUAUUGGCGAGAGACCGAUAGCGAACAAGUACAGUGAUGGAAAGAUGAAAAGAACUUUGAAAAGAGAGUGAAAAAGUACGUGAAAUUGUUGAAAGGGAAGGGCAUUUGAUCAGACAUGGUGUUUUUUGCAUGCACUCGCCUCUCGUGGGCUUGGGCCUCUCAAAAAUUUCACUGGGCCAACAUCAAUUCUGGCAGCAGGAUAAAUCAUUAAGAAUGUAGCUACUUCGGUAGUGUUAUAGCUUUUUGGAAUACUGUUAGCCGGGAUUGAGGACUGCGCUUCGGCAAGGAUGUUGGCAUAAUGGUUAAAUGCCGCCCGUCUUGAACCACGGGACCCAA
rnacentral:rRNA from 1 species